GUUUUCGCUAAGGGGGAUAUUUGUGCGCGCAGUCCCUCCGAUUUGCGGCGUGUUUCAAUUUAGUCCUAUUUCGCUAUUUCCUUUUAUUUUUUAGUUUAGCUCAAGAAUUUUACUUUUGUUCCAAUUUGGCCCACUGUUGUGCUGCGUUUUCGGGCUUCGGCUUAUUUACUGUUUUGGUCCCUCUAUGUUUGGCGCGUGUUGCAAUUUAAUCCUUUUAGUUU
rnacentral:lncRNA from 1 species